GACGAACGCUGGCGGCGUGCUUAACACAUGCAAGUCGAACGGAAAGGCCCUGCUUUUGUGGGGUGCUCGAGUGGCGAACGGGUGAGUGACACGUGAGUAACCUGCCCUUGACUUUGGGAUAACUUCAGGAAACUGGGGCUAAUACCGGAUAGGAGCUCCUGCUGCAUGGUGGGGGUUGGAAAGUUUCGGCGGUUGGGGAUGGACUCGCGGCUUAUCAGCUUGUUGGUGGGGUAGUGGCUUACCAAGGCUUUGACGGGUAGCCGGCCUGAGAGGGUGACCGGCCACAUUGGGGCUGAGAUACGGCCCAGACUCCUACGGGAGGCAGCAGUGGGGAAUAUUGCACAAUGGGCGGAAGCCUGAUGCAGCAACGCCGCGUGCGGGAUGACGGCCUUCGGGUUGUAAACCGCUUUCGCCUGUGACGAAGCGUGAGUGACGGUAAUGGGUAAAGAAGCACCGGCUAACUACGUG
rnacentral:rRNA from 1 species